GUGGGGAAUAUUAGGCAAUGGGCGAAAGCCUGACCUAGCAACGCCGCGUGAAGGAAGAAGGCCUUCGGGUUGUAAACUUCUUUUAUGAGGGACGAAGGACGUGACGGUACCUCAUGAAUAAGCCACGGCUAACUACGUGCCAGCAGCCGCGGUAAUACGUAGGUGGCGAGCGUUGUCCGGAUUUACUGGGUGUAAAGGGCGAGUAGGCGGACUGGCAAGUCAGAUGUGAAAUACAGGGGCUCAACCCCUGAACUGCAGUUGAAACUGUUGGUCUUGAGUAUCGGAGAGGCAAGCGGAAUUCCUAGUGUAGCUGUGAAAUGCGUAGAUAUUAGGAGGAACACCAGUGGCGAAGGCAGCUUGCUGGACGACAACUGACGCUGAGGCGCGAAAGCGUGGGGAGCAAACAGGAUUAGAUACCCUAGUAGUCC
rnacentral:rRNA from 1 species